rnacentral:rRNA from 1 species
CCGGCACGGGUGAGUAACACGUAUGCAAUCCACCUGUAACAGGGGAGUAACCGGAGAAAUCCGGACUAUACCCAUAAUAUGGGCGCUCCGCAUGGAGAGCCCAUUAAAGAGAGCAAUUUUGGUUACAGACGAGCAUGCGCUCCAUUAGCCAGUUGGCGGGGUAACGGCCCACCAAAGCGACGAUGGAUAGGGGUUCUGAGAGGAAGGUCCCCCACAUUGGAACUGAGACACGGUCCAA